GUGGGGAAUCUUAGACAAUGGGGGAAACCCUGAUCUAGCCAUGCCGCGUGAGCGAUGAAGGCCUUAGGGUUGUAAAGCUCUUUCAGCUGGGAAGAUAAUGACGGUACCAGCAGAAGAAGCCCCGGCUAACUCCGUGCCAGCAGCCGCGGUAAUACGGAGGGGGCUAGCGUUGUUCGGAAUUACUGGGCGUAAAGCGCGCGUAGGCGGACCAGAAAGUUGGAGGUGAAAUCCCAGGGCUCAACCUUGGAACUGCCUUCAAAACUCCUGGUCUGGAGUUCGAGAGAGGUGAGUGGAACUGCGAGUGUAGAGGUGAAAUUCGUAGAUAUUCGCAAGAACACCAGUGGCGAAGGCGGCUCACUGGCCCGAUACUGACGCUGAGGUGCGAAAGCGUGGGGAGCAAACAGGAUUAGAAACCCGAGUAGUCC
rnacentral:rRNA from 1 species